ACUCAAAAAUAGUAUAUACUAAAUUUCCAGAAACCCUAGCCCUCUCCUCCUUCGUGACCCUCCCCUCCGCCCACUACUCUCUCUCCUCGACCCUCAUUAACCGCCUCCGCCGGCGAAUCGUCCCCGGCCAUGGAUGCAGCGAACACAUCGUCCUCGAUGAGAUUUGGGAGUUCUCGGCGCCGUGCUUGUUUGCUUUCAUGGAGGAGGAGAGCGACGACGAUCAGUGCUUCGGAUCAAUCUCUCCGUUGUUAAAUAUUCAAUCUCGAAAUUGCUCAGUUGUUUCGAUAUUGUGUCAGCUCCGUUGCUACGAUUUGAAAUGAGGUCGUAUUGAUUAGAGCAGCAGCAGAAGAAUUGAAGACCGAGGUUUUUGUGCGGUAUGUAGAGACUGUUAGCAGUUUUGACACCACCGUUAACAUUGUCAAAUCAUCUGUGGAAUCCUGGUAGCACUCCUGAUUGGCUGGGAAAUGUUAUACUCGCUGUUUUUGUUGCUGCUGUCACGUGCCUGACUUUGGUGUAUCUUCUUUCAUACAUUCAUCUUUCAGGGAGCUUGAGUGGACUAAAUCACAUAGCAAUGGAACAAGUGUAAACAUUGUAGGUGCAGCAAAAGCAGCAACUUCAGUUUCUUGGUGCUCCCAGAGGUCUUUUGCAGUUCGGUAUACAUAUUAUGUGCCGAUGCAUCAUUGAAAAGAUUGAGAGAUUAAACAAGGGAAUCAAGCAGUGUACAUUUUAUUCAAAGCUUAUUGAACUUACAGAUUUCUGUAUUUUCUUAAAACUUGAAAUGGCUUUCAUGACAUUUGUAUAAGUUGUAUGAAAGUUGAUACUAUAUAUAUGAGCAAAUUUGAUUUGUGUAACCAGAUUUGUAUUGCAAACAUUUACAUACUUUUUUUGUAUGAACAAAAUGAUUUUGUAUAGUUAUAAAUGCCAAUGGAACACCCGAAGCCAUUAUUAUUGGUAACAGAAUUAGUGGCGAAU